GAGCUCUUCUCUGCUUUUCUGGAGGAGGGGUCUGUCUGCUGCAGGCCAGUGCUGCUGGGGCAGAGUGAGUAAAUGGGCCCGGCUGCCAGUCAGAGAGUAAGCCCCUUUGAUUCUCAUGCUAAGCUGCAUCCUCCACCUUAGACUCCCGUUAGUAAUAAAGCCUCCACCGGCUACUCAAAAUCCUUUUUUUCCCUGCUAACUGUUGCAUAGCCUCCACCUGCUAUUCAAAGUGUGGUCUGCAGAAGAGCAGCGUGGGUAUUACCUGGGUGCUUGGGAGAAAUGCACAGUAUCAGGCCCCACCUCACACAGCAAUGGAAUCUGCAUUCGAACCACAUGCCAAGGGGAUUCAUAUGCAUGAGAGCUAGUAGCAAAUAUUAAUAAGAAGGUAAGUGUUGCUCUCUCUCAG
rnacentral:lncRNA from 10 species